ACGAAGGGUGCAAACGUUGCUCGGAAUCAUUGGGCGUAAAGCGCACGUAGGCGGCUUCGCAAGUCGGAUGUGAAAUCCCUCGGCUCAACCGAGGACGUGCAUACGAAACUGCGAAGCUUGAGUACUGAAGAGGAUCGCGGAAUUCCCGGUGUAGAGGUGAAAUUCGUAGAUAUCGGGAGGAACAUCUGUGGCGAAGGCGACUGCCUGGACCAGCACUGACACUGAGGCACGAAAGCGUGGGGAGCAAACAGGA
rnacentral:rRNA from 1 species